GGCCUCCUGGUGCUUACCACAGGCUGUGUUCUGACACUGACUGCAUAGAAAAAGAAGGGGGCCUGCCUUCUCUGUUCUUAUAUUGACUGUACAGAAAAAGAAGAGAUCCUACCCUAUAUACGUCUCUGCCUAGGCCCUAGUCCUGGUCUGAACUGUGAAUGGGGGGCCAUGG
ensembl:snoRNA